rnacentral:rRNA from 1 species
GACGAACGCUGGCGGCGUGCUUAACACAUGCAAGUCGAACGGAAAGGCCCUGCUUUUGUGGGGUGCUCGAGUGGCGAACGGGUGAGUAACACGUGAGUAACCUGCCCUUGACUUUGGGAUAACUUCAGGAAACUGGGGCUAAUACCGGAUAGGAGCUCCUGCUGCAUGGUGGGGGUUGGAAAGUUUCGGCGGUUGGGGAUGGACUCGCGGCUUAUCAGCUUGUUGGUGGGGUAGUGGCUUACCAAGGCUUUGACGGGUAGCCGGCCUGAGAGGGUGACCGGCCACCUUGGGACUGAGAUACGGCCCAGUCUCCUACGGUAGGCAGCAGUGGGGAAUAUUGCACAAUGGGCGGAAGCCUGAUGCAGCAACGCCGCGUGCGGGAUGCCGGCCUUCGGGUUGUAAACCGCUUUCGCCUGUGACGAAGCGUGAGUGACGGUAAUGGGUAAAGAAGCACCGGCUAACUACGUG